GACGAACGCUGGCGGCGUGGAUUAGGCAUGCAAGUCGAACGGUAUCAUCCUUUCGGGGGUGAGAGAGUGGCGAACUGGUGAGUAACACGUAGGUUAUCUACCCUCAAGACGGGGACAACCCAGGGAAACUUGGGCUAAUACCGGAUGUGAGCAACUUUUAGUUGUUUGAAAGGUGGCGUAAGCUGUCGCUUGGGGAUGAGCCUGCGUCCUAUUAGUUAGUUGGUGAGGUAACGGCUCACCUAGGCAAUGAUAGGUAGGCGGCCUUAACGGGUGGUCGCCCACACUGGGAUUGAGAUACGGCCCAGACUCCUACGGGAGGCAGCAGUCGAGAAUAGUCUACAAUGGUCGGAAGACUGAUAGUGCGACGCCGCGUGAACGAUGAAUCCCUUCGGGGUGUAAAGUUCUUUUAUAUGUGAGCAGUGCUUCUAUAUUAACAGUAUGGGGAGAGAGAUAUUAGCAUAUGAAUAAGCAACGGCUAACUCGUGCCAGCAGCCGCGGUAAUA
rnacentral:rRNA from 1 species